GCCUAGGCAGAGGAAAAGGGGGUCGAGGAACAGCAAGAUGCCAUAAAAACAAGGGAAAACAGGGGACACUACAGCUGAGGGAGGGUGAGUGUCAAAACAAACUCCACAGAGCAACAAAAGGCAGGGGGAAAAUAAGUGUUUGUUUUUCUCCCUGUUUGCUUUUUAAUGAAAGGAGGCAGGCAAGCGUUUGAGGGUUGUUAGCAUUUCUUGCUGACCUGCAGCUGGUGCAUUUUUCACCCACUUCUGUCAGAAUUUAUUUGAGUUUGGUACUAAACGCUGAUCAGACUUUGCCCCUUGCUUUACUUAGGCUUGGAAUUGCUUAUACAGCAAACACUCUCUGCUAGGGUUCUCAUUAAUCCACUUCUUUGUUGAGGUUUCCUAGAGGAAUUCCUAUUUGGUAAACCAAACAGAAUUAAAAGGAAUGCAUCUGCACCGGGAAUAUCCAUCUUGGGUCUCUGGGACCUAUUGUCCCAGCUAAAUUAGACUAGGAGGCCUCUUGUGUUUGCCCGGAGCCAUGAUUCCCACUAGCACUUGAUAAACCAUUAAUAGGCUGCGUUAGUCGGGAGGUUUUGGCAGAUUUGGGGCAUCCCUGGCAGCGAGGGAUGCGGGAUGCGGAAUGCGCUGCGGCGGCGGCGCGCUCCUUGCCACUAGGUGGCACUUCCCAUCCUACAAAGUACAGUAAUUAGCGCACGCCUGGUGCCGCUAAUGAACCUCGCCCGCUCUGUUUAAUCCGCGACAGGGCACGGAACCUGAUGCACAGUGUAUCUUCUUAAAGGCACGACUGACUGUAUUCAUUAGUUCAGAGGAGGCUGCUCCCUCAGCUACUGCAAAGGAACCAUCAAAGUCUUAACUUCAAUGUUUCUCAUUUCUCAAGAAGCCAAAGUCGUCUGAAGAGAGCAGUGGUGUCAGCAAUCAUCAGAGUCCAAUCUGUACCUGGCCCCAAGACAGAUCCAUAGAAACCGGAGAAAAAUAUUCAGGAUAUAGCUGAAUAGAACAAUUCCUGAGACAUCCCUGCCUGGCAUUUCCCUAAGCUCAGUGUGCUGACCAAGUCCAGUCGCGGCUGAGGUCAUCAGACAGACAAUGACAACAACAAGAAGAUUAAUAAUAACAAUCAUCUUGUUCAAUUUCACAGUUAAUGAAGAAUAUUUUCAAUGCAGCAACCACAAAGUUAAUGUUCAACCAGGGAAUCAAAUGUUCCUUACUUGGCUUCUACCUCUGGCUGGAGGCCAAUCUGCAACUGCACCUGCAUCUAUCAUCACCUCUGCACUGUAGGGCAAGCCUGGAAUUCCCUCAAUAAAACACAACUAAAAGCAAAACUUCAAAACCCAGGGUGAUUCAAAAUAUUGUCCUCAGCUCCUGCGAGCAAUGCUCUUCAUUCUCUGGGACUAGAAACCAUCAAAUGUGGGAUGAUUUUGUUUUAUGCUUGUACAAGUUGUGUGGACUUUUUUAGUUCACAUAUACUUCGAAUCCUCCAGGUGCAGGAAAGUCAACUUGCAAUCCCCCAAAUAUCCUAUAACUUGACACACUGCUUGCAGCAGCAGCAAACAAACCUUCUAUAUUGAGAAGAUUUAUUUCUUAAUGGCUUAGCUUUUAAUAUCAGAUAUGAUUUCCAAUAACUGGUCUAGAUCAGGUUUCAACAUUUCUAUUCAUCCACUGCAUUUAUUUAGUCCUACAAAAAAUAAACUUUUUUAGGGACUUACAACAUCCUUUGAGUUGCAAAUUCCCAAUUAACUUCAGCUGGCAUUGGUGCAGGUCAUAAUGUCGAGAGAACAUUCUGGUUUAGCAAUAUAAAUACAGCCUUAGAUCUUUCCAUAUGAUCAAACAUGCUUACAGAUGCUUACUAACAAAGAUGUACUUAGAAAUGUAAUAAUAGAUGUCACUUACAAGGAAAAAGCCUAAACCAUGUUUGUUUUAGACAAGUGGCACACAUUUCUGUGGCUCAUUUCCACUUAAACUCCUUCCUGCUUAAAUAAACUAGACCACAUGCACUUCGAGGAACACACCAGCACCGCCUUCACUGGGGAAAAAACACAAACCUCUUAAUCACAGCUACAAAAGUACAGAGUAAAGGAAAAACUUAGUUUGUUUAGGAAUUUUGUCAAGGCCUUUAAUAAAUCCAGUGCGUUGCAAAUCUAUUGGCAAAUGCUGGGUGACAUUUCUCAUGGUCAUUAAGCACUAUUUAUCACACAUACAUUUAUAUAACACCAGAACUUGCUAAACUAUGUCAUAAUCCUGCUCCAGGCUGUUAGAUCAUGGUGGUGCUGGGUCUCCCUAACCCUUUCCUGCCCCUCAGAUAGAUCACAGAGACCUCAGAGGGAAAAUAAAAACCCCUGUUUUGAUUUCUUGUGUAGGGAAUAUGUGUCCUGGUGUUCCUCUGUCUUCAUCCCUGAAGGGUUGGAGUAUGGAGGGAUGGGGUUUUCCACCCCAAAAUCUGAUGAUUGCACAUGGCAGCUACAGCUGAAAGCCAUGCUAAAACAAAUAACAACAGUAUUAAACUGGAGAAAAAUAAGAGUUAGUUUCAAGUUAAAUCGGAGCUUGCAGAGCCUCCUGAACCACGGGCUCAGUCUCCAGCUCUCUGGGGCCCACCCUGUGCAGACUGCUGAAGAAUAACCCCCACUGCCUCCACAAAUUAGCAACAUUUAAAUUAUUCUGAAAGAAAAAAUGGAGUAGUUCAGCAUGUAUAUGAUGAAAAUUUCCCUAUCAAUACCAGACUGAGGUACUGUGAUUUAGGAGAAUCCAUGGACUCAACCCAAAGAAUGUGUUCUAAAAACUCCUAUGACUGAAUUAAGCACUUUCUUUCUCCCUGCUGAGCAAUUUGUACACAUACACCUGGGCACCAUCAGGAGCCCAUUACUGCCCAGAUUACCUAUUAUCCACAGAUCUGCUCAGCAGGUUUUGGAUCACUCACUUUAAUCAGCUUAUUGCAGAAAACCACUUUAGAUCAGUGGAGCAUGUGGAUAUAUCACUCAUGUAGGUGUUUUCUAAUCACAAAAUGCACUUAGACAUAUAGAGCAGCCGUGAGUUCUAAAUAAAUCUGGGAGCAGGAUUCAAUUUACAAGCUAAGGUAGAGCAGAUGAAAUAUAGCAAGCCUUUUCCUCCCCUCUAACAGGUUUUAUUGAAUAUAAAAUCGUUUUCAGAACUGUGCUUUCCUCUCUGCUGCCUCUUAACUCCCAUUCAACCUUUCCCUGUGUUCCUCCUGACUUCCCCCCAGCCACAGAUAUGAAUUCAUUCGUACUUUUCAGAAAUGAGAUCAAAGCUUUCAUAAUUAAGAUCAAACAAUUGCCUACAGUGACACCUGUGAGAGCUGAAGCCUGUUCAAACACACAGGAGGAAAAAAAAAAACCCACACAAAACCCAAAAAGAAGAGGACACAGCAUAUUUAGACCAAGCACACAAGUUCAUUAUUUGUUGGGUAAAUGCUGCAAAAGAGUCUGGAGAAUGAGAUUUUUAAGAAAGAUUGCACUAUCUCCAAAUAAACAACAAAACCCCAGCUAAACAAAAGGAUGGGACUGGCCCUGUGUGUUUCUUUUGUAAGAAUUACUGUAAAAUGAGGGGUUUUCUUUUUAAUGAGACACUUUGCCUUUUAUUCCUGUAAAUGGUCAAAAUCACAGAAACCAGUGACAUCCAGCUGGGAUGUCAAUCCACAUCCAAAGAUGGAAAGGAGAGGAGCCCAGAAGGGCCACCAGUCUCUGCAUUGGCAAUCCACCCUUGUCCUUUUGGGAAAGGAAUCAAGACAACUGAUGGAGCUACAAGACACAGAUUUGAAAGUUCAAAUUUUAAACAGAAAUUUCUGAUUUCGACCUUUCCACAGAUCAAGGCACAGCUUCAGAGAGCCCAUGCACCUCACAUCCCCUCUGCCAGACACUUCUUCUCAGGCUCCAGGCUUUCGGAGACAUUGAAUCGGGAAAUUAAUAACGUGUCUUGGAUAAAACUUAGGCAUUUGAGGAUGAACUCUGAGGCUCAUCAGGGUCCUCACAGGAAGGUGUGACAUUGGUGUCCCACAGCCACUCUGCCCUUCCAGCCUGCUCAGCACCUGCACUGGACACCUGCAGGUUCCAUUUGACACGGUGGUAGCUGAAAAAAACACUCAGCAAUUUUGUGUUGCACUGAGGUGGAAUCAGGACCCUCCUGUGAGGAGGAAAGAGGCUGUGUCAGACAGGCUAAAAAAAGGAAAUGAAGGGAUGACCCACCAGCUGCCCACAAUGUGAGAACAGCUGUCCUUGAAUCAACUCAACACUGCCCAGAGCCCCUUGUCCAGGUGCUCUUCCAGCCUCCAGCCCUCAGCAGCUUGGAGGCUCCCCGGGCUGCCUUUGGUGUGUUCAACAACUUUCGGUGCAUUUCUCUUUCACAGCAUGGCCCUGUGUCCUCUCAAGGUCAUGGAAACUUACCAGAGCCUUGAAGACACUCCACACAUAAUGUAUAGCAACAGAAAAAACACAACAGAAAGCAUACAAUACAAUGAAAAUGUGACAAAAUUGAUUAGAUACCACUGCACAGUCAUUUUCUUUACACAGCUGUCUAAACUGCAGCCCAAGCCAGAUUUUUACCUUCAGUUCUGACAUAUUAGUACACAUCUAAAGUAUAUCCAGAAAAUUUUCUUGUACUGCUCUGGCUCAAAGCAGCAUCCAAACCACAAACAUGAUACUUUUAAUCCACAGAAAGCCUUGAAAACAGUCCCAGUGCUGCACCAUCACUGAAAAAUUCAGAUAGUUUGCCUUUUUGUUGAGUUCCAGCACAGUGCUGUAAAGGAAUUUUUCAUCUUACAUUAAAAGCUUUAAAAGAAAAUGGAACACCAUGCAGGUGGGCAAAUGGGACCUUACUAGGAGAAGGCAGGUGUCAAUCAGAGGAGAAUAAUCAUGGUUCACAUAUGAAGCAGGUAUUGCUGCCUGGGUAAAAAACCCCAGAAAUAGCACUGAAAACGCAGCUGUACCUGGAUCUUCAGGCACUGGUAACAGGUCCACUCAGUGGUCCCCAUGUGAUUUUAUCCACCCUGUGGUACUGGGAAAAAGGGGAAGGGUAAUGCAUAUUUUUCAAGUGCACCUCCUCUCCUGAUGUCUCAAUUGCUUUCUUUUGAAAAGAAAUUAGAAUCAAUAGUAGGUUCAUGGCCCAAAAGCACAGGGAAGACACUGCUGUUAAUUAAGAUCAUGACAGACUGAGCAUUCGGAAUCCUAAUUCUUUCUGAAAUGGUUAUCUUUGCAAAGGAGAGAGAGGAAUGGAAGGUGAAAGACCAAGACACAGGAAUUCCCAUCUAAAAGAGCAGAUCACAGCCUGAGAUAAAAUCUCAUGUUCAGAAUAGGCAGUUCAGAUUGUACAGUGAUGCAAAAAAUUUAAAAGACCUAGUUGUUCAAAGAGUCUUUUUAACAUUCCUUUUAAAGCACUAUUAUAAAUAAAAAUGGUUGCUUGAAAAUUUUCCUAAUAAAUCUGGCAGAACAAAGAUAUUCUUGGUAUCAUUAGGAGAAAAAAAAUCAGAAUUCAGUCUGAAGCACAGGUUUUCAGUUUGAGCUUAGCUUAACUUCUUGUUAAAUAACCAACAUUACUUUUAAAAUAAUUUACCAGCCAGGUUUCCAACCUAUUCUACAUUUUCAUCCUCAGUAUUGUUAAUUGUGAUAAAAAUAUUCAGGG